rnacentral:rRNA from 1 species
UACGUAGGGUGCGAGCGUUGUCCGGAAUUAUUGGGCGUAAAGGGCUCGUAGGCGGUUUGUCGCGUCGACCGUGAAAACCCGCGGCUUAACUGCGGGCUUGCGGUUGAUACGGGCGGGCUAGAGUUCGGUAGGGGAGACUGGAAUUCCUGGUGUAGCGGUGAAAUGCGCAGAUAUCAGGAGGAACACCGGUGGCGAAGGCGGGUCUCUGGGCCGAUACUGACGCUGAGGAGCGAAAGCGUGGGGAGCGAACAGG